AAGGGCAAUCGGACCCUUUCCGGUGAGGGAACCUCUCUCCAGACAUGAUCAAGAGAAACUGGCGAGGGACUGACAUGAUCUAGCUUACCUUGGGUCACCGAACGGAUUUGGCAUGUGACAUAAUUAUCCCAGCGAUCACUAAAACUGUAAAUUUGGAUGCAAUUAAGAGAGAAAACUCCACACAUUUAUGGAAAUUUAAGUGAUGGAAUGUAAUCCAGAAUGUACUUUUUUAUUUCUGAAAUCUCUGUAAAACAGUACAAUGGAAAAAUGAAAACGAAAGACAUAAUUGAGGAAAUCCAACAUCCCACAAAAAGGAAUUCUAGAAAGAUUUGCAGCUUGCUGGCUUGCUGAGUGGAAAAUGAUUCUUUCCCAGUUCUCCUUGGUUUCUUCCUUUCAUGAAUUGAUUAACACUGAGAGAUUAUGUUUUAAUUAUGUCGACUAGAGGUUUUAAAUGAUUCUAGGUUUCUGUGUCCAUUUGUUUUCCUAGGUUUGGGGAAUUUGCUACUGCAAUAUCGUUGUAUAGAUAUUCUUUGCUUUAGUGAGAAACUCAGCUCCUUCUACUCUGUGGUUCUUAGCUUUAGUCUAUUGUACACAUCACAGAGUUAAUGAAAGCUGUGGUCAUACUUGAUUUUUUCUUCAUUACUAUUGAAAUAAAGCAUAUCCUUGACCUUGUCUCCAAUCUCUAUUUUCAAGUCUGUUGGGGAUACAUUCCACUAUUGUUUGAUUGAAAUAUCCAUUUCCAACAUUUCUAUUACUUUGCUUCUUUUUUUUUUGUCCCCACCAAAAAUAAAUAUUUAUAGAAUUGUAAAUCAAAAUGAAACAUUUUUCUGUAUGUAUAAAAACAAAAGGAAACAAACAAAUAAAAAAAUCUGCAUAUUGA
rnacentral:lncRNA from 1 species